GGUCGAGUGGCGCAAUGGUAGCGUGUGGUCCUCCUAUCUCCUGGGAGAACAGACUGAGGUUGUGGGUUCGAGUCCCAUCUCGAUCG
rnacentral:tRNA from 1 species